rnacentral:lncRNA from 1 species
CUCAGAUCUGUAUGUAAUCAGGGCAAAGAGUGUGCCACCGCCAUGGCUGCAAAAACAGUUGCAUUAGAUGUAAGAGGGAUCGAGAGAGAUCAAAACCCAAAACCCAAAUGAAUCCAUCAAAUCAAACCCCUCGCAUCAUCAUGUCAUCUGUUUCACCCCGCCAAGAUACGGAUGUAAGAGGGAUCGAGAGAGAUCAAAACCCAAAACCCAAAACCCAAAACCCAAAUGAAUUCAUCAAAUCAAAUCCCUCGCAUCAUCAUGCCAUCUGUUUCGCCCCGCCAAGAUACGACCACAUCAACACAGCCCCGAUUCGCUCAAUAAUCAAAU